rnacentral:rRNA from 1 species
GCCCACUGAAAUUUUUAAAUGGCCGCAGUAAUUUGACUGUGCAAAGGUAGCAUAAUCAUUAGUUUUUUAAUUAAAAGCUUGUAUGAAAGGUUGGACGAAGUAAAAUCUGUCUCUAUUUAAAUUAAAUUAGAAUUUAAUUUUUAAGUUAAAAAGCUUAAAUUUUAGUAAAAGACGAGAAGACCCUAUAGAGCUUUAUAAUUUUAUUAAUAUAAUAAAUUAAGAUUUAUUUAAGUUUUAUUAAUUAAAUUAUUUUAUUGGGGUAAUAGUAAGAUUGAAUAAAUUCUUUUUUAAGAUUAACAUUUAUUUAUGAUAUUAAUGAUCCAUUUUUAGUGAUUAUAAGAUUAAGUUACCUUAGGGAUAACAGCGUAAUUUUUUUAGAGAGUUCAUAUCGAUAAAAAAGUUUGCGACCUCGAUGUUGGAUUAAAGAUUAAUUUAGGUGUAGAAGUUUAAAUUUUUGGUCUGUUCGACCAUUAAAUCUUUACAUGAUCUGAGUUCAGACCGGUGUAAGCCAGGUCGGUUUCUAUCUUUAUUACAUUUAAAUAUUUUAGUACGAAAGGACCAAAUAUUUGAUAUAUUUAUAUUUAAAAUUUUGAAUAUUAUUAAUAUUAUUUUGGCAGAUUAGUGCAAUAAAUUUAGAAUUUAUUAAUGUAAUUAUAUUACAAAUAAUACUUGUAUUAUAUAGAUUUAUUAUUUUCUUUAAUUUGUAUAUUAUUAUUAUUAAUUUGUGUUUUGGUGGGAGUUGCUUUUUUAACUUUAUUAGAACGUAAAGUAUUAGGCUAUA